AUACGGAGGGUGCAAGCGUUAAUCGGAAUUACUGGGCGUAAAGCGUACGUAGGCGGUUAUUUAAGUCAGAUGUGAAAGCCCCGGGCUUAACUUGGGAACUGCAUUUGAAACUGGGUAACUAGAGUUUAGUAGAGGGGAGUGGAAUUUCAGGUGUAGCGGUGAAAUGCGUAGAGAUCUGAAGGAACACCAGUGGCGAAGGCGACUCCCUGGACUAGAACUGACGCUGAGGUACGAAAGCGUGGGUAGCAAACAGGAUUAGAAACCCGAGUAGUCC
rnacentral:rRNA from 1 species